AACGAACGCUGGCGGCAGGCUUAACACAUGCAAGUCGAACGCCCCGCAAGGGGAGUGGCAGACGGGUGAGUAACACGUGGGAACGUGCCCUGAGGUUCGGAAUAGCUCCGGGAAACUGGAAUUAAUACCGAAUGUGUCCGAGAGGAGAAAGAUUUAUCGCCUCAGGAUCGGCCCGCGUCGGAUUAGGUAGUUGGUGGGGUAAUGGCCUACCAAGCCCGCGAUCCGUGGCUGGUCUGAGAGGACGACCAGCCACACUGGGACUGAGACACGGCCCAGACUCCUACGGGAGGCAGCAGUGGGGAAUCUUGGACAAUGGGCGCAAGCCUGAUCCAGCCAUGCCGCGUGGAUGAUGAAGGCCUUAGGGUUGUAAAAUCCUUUCGUCGGGGACGAUAAUGACGGUACCCGAAGAAGAAGCUCCGGCUAACUUCGUGCCAGCCGCCGCAGUAAAAC
rnacentral:rRNA from 1 species